UGCAGCGUAGCUUAAUGGCAAAGCCCCAAGCUCAUAACUUGGUCAUUACGGGUAUCUCCUUCGGAGACGCUUACGCGAACAACUCCCGUCGCUGCGACCA
rnacentral:tRNA from 4 species